UACGAAAUACGCCGUAGCAGACAAGAGAAAUAAUUAAGUUUUAAGUUGUUUUGAAAAAGUUAUCUGUACUUUCUCCUCGCUAAAUUGAGAAUUAAUCAAGUAGAGGAUGGACGGAACCGUGGUGGAUCAGUCAAGUACAGAUAAUGAUUCCCUUACUAUGGCAGAAGCCGUCAAAAUGAUCACCAAAGCUUAUGACCUCUGCUUUUCAAACAAGUUUCUACAAGCAAAGGCAGACAUAGAGCCAUGGAUCAACAAAAGCAUGUACCAUGCAGUUGCAUACAGCAGUAUUAUGUGCAUUCAAGCUCUGUUGAAAUUUGAACAGGU